GAUGAAGAACGUAGUGAAAUGCGAUAAGUAAUGUGAAUUGCAGAAUCCAGUGAAUCAUCGAAUCUUUGAACGCACAUUGCGCCCGCCAGUAUUCUGGCGGGCAUGCCUGUCCGAGCGUCAUUUCAACCAUCAAGCCCCAGGCUUGUGUUGGGGACCUGCGUCCGACGCAGGCCCUGAAAACCAGUGGCGGGCUCGCUGUCCACACCGAGCGUAGUAACUAACCUCGCUACGGGAGCGGCGCGGGCGCCUGCCGUAAAACCCCCCAUUUUCACAAGGUUGACCUCGGAUCAGGUAGGAAUACCCGCUGAACUUAAGCAUAUCAAUAAGCGGAGGA
rnacentral:misc_RNA from 1 species